rnacentral:lncRNA from 1 species
UGAAAACCUCAAUCAAAUCAUGAAGAACUUGCAACCUUACUCUGAUACCACUUGUUGGGACCGAUGAAGACAACGCAAGAAUUGAGAUUUGAUGAACCCAAUAUGAAGUAUAAAUAAAAAUCACAAAAUAACCAAGAACAAGAUUAAAGUAAAAGAUGCAAAAUAAAAGGGAACUGACAGAGGAACGAUGUUAUUUUAUUCAAUCACUAUGAAAGGAGAGAAUUACAGCAAUUGGCUUAAACUAAACUGAAAGAGGAGCCACGUAUUUAUAGUACACGAGUCAAACGCUAAAACUAG